GUGUUUGCUUUGGCAGCACACAUGCUAAAAUUGGAACGACACAGAGAGGAUUAGCAUGGCCUCUAUGCAAGAAUGACACACAAGUUCAUAAAAUAUUCCUUGUUUAA